rnacentral:rRNA from 1 species
CCUACGGGUGGCAGCAGUGGGGAAUAUUGCACAAUGGGGGAAACCCUGAUGCAGCGACGCCGCGUGAAGGAAGAAGUACUUCGGUAUGUAAACUUCUAUCAGCAGGGAAGAAAAUGACGGUACCUGGCUAAGUAGCCCCGGAUAACUACGUGCCAGCAGCCGCGGUAACACGCAGGGGGCAUGCAGUAUCCGGAUUUACCGGGUGUAAAGGGAGCGUAGGCGGUUUAGCAAGUCAGAAGUGAAAGCCCGGGGCUCAACUCCGGGACUGCUUUUGAAACUGUUGAACUUGAUUGCAGGAGAGGUAAGUGGAAUUCCUAGUGUAGCGGUGAAAUGCGUAGAGAGUAGGAGGAACACCAGUGGCGAAGGCGGCUUACUGGACUGUAAAUGACGCUGAGGCUCGAAAGCGUGGGGAGCAAACAGGAUUAGAUACCCCAGUAGUC